CGGAACGGGUGAGUAACGCGUGAGGAACCUGCCUCAAAGAGGGGGACAACAGUUGGAAACGACUGCUAAUACCGCAUAAGCCCACGGUGCCGCAUGGCACAGAGGGAAAAGGAGCAAUCCGCUUUGAGAUGGCCUCGCGUCCGAUUAGCUAGUUGGUGAGGUAACGGCCCACCAAGGCGACGAUCGGUAGCCGGACUGAGAGGUUGAACGGCCACAUUGGGACUGAGACACGGCCCAA
rnacentral:rRNA from 1 species